GACGAACGCUGGCGGCGUGCUUAACACAUGCGAGUCGAACGGAAAGGCCCUGCUUUUGUGGGGUGCUCGAGUGGCGAACGGGUGAGUAACACGUGAGUAACCUGCCCUUGACUUUGGGAUAACUUCAGGAAACUAGGGCUAAUACCGGAUAGGAGCUCCUGCUGCAUGGUGGGGGUUGGAAAGUUUCGGCGGUUGGGGAUGGACUCGCGGCUUAUCAGCUUGUUGGUGGGGUAGUGGCUUACCAAGGCUUUGACGGGUAGCCGGCCUGAGAGGGUGACCGGCCACAUUGGGACUGAGAUACGGCCCAGACUCCUACGGGAGGCAGCAGUGGGGAAUAUUGCACAAUGGGCGGAAGCCUGAUGCAGCAACGCCGCGUGCGGGAUGACGGCCUUCGGGUUGUAAACCGCUUUCGCCUGUGACGAAGCGUGAGUGACGGUAAUGGGUAAAGAAGCACCGGCUAACUACGUG
rnacentral:rRNA from 1 species